rnacentral:rRNA from 1 species
CCAAGGCUAAAUACUCCUGACUGACCGAUAGUGAACCAGUACCGUGAGGGAAAGGCGAAAAGAACCCCGGCGAGGGGAGUGAAAAAGAACCUGAAACCGUGUACGUACAAGCAGUGGGAGCACCCUUUUGGGUGUGACUGCGUACCUUUUGUAUAAUGGGUCAGCGACUUAUAUUCUGUAGCAAGGUUAACCGAAUAGGGGAGCCGGAGGGAAACCGAGUCUUAAUUGGGCGUUAAGUUGCAGGGUAUAGACCCGAAA